GUCAAUUCUCCCUGUAACCAAACACAUAUUUAUUGGGUAACGACGAGGACAAUCAACGGACUCGCUACCCUGACCCGAGGCGUCGCCGCCGCCAUAGCCGUCCGCGCAACGGCUGAGAACAGGGUGGUUCAAGCUGCAAUGAUGGGCACAGGUACAAGUACGAAUUCCUCUAUCAAUGCAAAGUUUGCCCUUUCUGCACCCACCGCAGAGAAGUCCCCCCC
rnacentral:misc_RNA from 1 species